GAGAUUUGGGAUUCGCACUUUCCGCCUCACUUCUGAGCUGUGCAGAAGCACAUUGACUCUUCUCACUGUGCAGGACGUGGCUGCCCCUCAUCAUUUCUCAGAGAGAUAAUCAGUAAAGAAUAACCUGUGAAGAGGCCAUUAUGGUUCUUGCUGCUGUGCAUUUUCUGCUGAAGGUCCCGAGUGCUGUGUCCCUGCGGGCUCCCCUGAGAAGAUCUCUCCAAGUUUCUAGCCCGGGCUAUCCAGUUUGCACCUCCCAGAACUUUAAAAAUUAUGAAGCCAUAAAACAACAGUAUAGACCAGAAGUGCCAGAGUAUUUCAACUUUGCAAGAGAUGUGCUGGACAGAUGGACUGAAAUGGAAAAGGAGGCAAAAAGGCCUAAAAACCCUGCAUUGUGGUGGGUAAAUGGUGAUGGAGAAGAAGUGAGGUGGAGCUUUGAAGAACUGGGAGUCCUGUCCAGGAAAGUGGCUAAUGUACUGUCUGAUGCCUGUGGUCUGCAACAGGGAGACAGAGUUAUUCUGAUUCUGCCCAGGAUCCCAGAGUGGUGGCUGGUGAAUGUGGCAUGCAUGCGAACAGGAACUGUCCUGAUUCCUGGUACGCAGCAGUUGACAGCAAAGGACAUUCUCCAUCGACUACAGAAAUCAAAGGCAAAAUGCAUCAUCACUGAUGAUUCUGUGGCACCAGCUGUAGAGUCAGUUGGGCCUGAAUGCCAGUCUCUGAAAUUCAAGCUGCUUGUGUCAGAGGGCCACAGAGAAGGAUGGCUGAACUUUAAAGAGCUCCUGAAACGUGCUCCUUCUGAUCACCACUGCGUGUCCACAAAGCAUCAGGAUCCAAUGGCUAUCUAUUUUACCAGUGGAACUACAGGGUCUCCAAAAAUGACUGAACAUUCACACGGCAGCUAUGGCAUUGGCCUCACAGUAAAUGGAAGGUACUGGCUGGAUUUGACUUCCUCAGAUGUACUUUGGAAUACAUCAGAUACGGGCUGGGCAAAGUCAGGUUGGAGCAGCAUUUUUUCCCCAUGGAUUCAAGGGGCAUGUGUAUUUGCACAUAAGAUGCCACGCUUCAACCCAAGCAUUGUCUUUGAGAGUCUGUCAAGAUUUCCCAUAACUGUCUUCUGUUCUGCUCCAACUGCCUAUCGAAUGUUUGUGCAACAUAAAGUGUCCAGCUAUAAAUUCAGAAGCCUGCGGCACUGUGUGAGUGCUGGGGAGCCAAUCAACCCUGAAGUGAUGGGAGAAUGGAAAGAGCAGACUGGGCUGGAUAUCCAUGAAGGCUAUGGACAAACAGAAACAGUGCUGAUCUGUGGAAACUUUAAGGGAAUGAAAAUUAAGCCUGGCUCUAUGGGAAAGCCGUCUCCAGGAUAUGAAGUCAAGAUUAUAGACGAAAACAGUAAUAUUCUGCCUCCUGGAAAAGAAGGAGAUAUUGCCAUCAGAGUAAAACCUACGAGACCGUUUUGUCUUUUCACUUGUUACACUGAUGAUCCAGAGAAAACUGAGGCAACAAUACGUGGGAAUUUUUACGUCACUGGAGACAGGGGGAUUAUGGAUGAAGAUGGAUACUUCUGGUUUGUUGGAAGAGCUGAUGAUGUCAUCAAUUCUGCUGGAUAUCGUAUUGGACCAUUUGAAGUAGAAAGUGCCCUAAUAGAGCAUCCUGCAGUGAUGGAAGCAGCAGUUGUUAGCAGUCCAGACCCCAUCAGAGGAGAGGUAGUGAAAGCCUUUGUUGUUUUAACAUCUGACUAUGUUUCACGCGAUCCAGAAAAAUUGAUGAAUGAGCUACAGGACCAUGUUAAGAAAGUUACUGCUCCAUACAAGUAUCCUAGGAAGAUGGAGUUUGUUCAGCAGUUGCCAAAAACUAUUAGUGGGAAGAUCAGAAGAAAGGAACUGCGCCAGAAGGAGUGGAGAAAAGUUUAGAAUUGCUGCUUUUUUUAAUAACAUCUCUUACAACCCUUUACAGACUGAUUCAAAUUGACCGUGGAGUUCAGAAUGGCAGGAGACGCUCUGGACAAGUUUGAACUUCUUAAAGGAGCCUCAGGAGUGGAGUCAUUUCCAAUUAAUGCUGAGUGUGAUGAAGUACCAUUUACCUUUGCAGAUGGUAACUUAAAAGCAGAA